rnacentral:rRNA from 1 species
AGUGAACGCUGGCGGUAGGCCUAACACAUGCAAGUCGAACGGCAGCACAGUAAGAGCUUGCUCUUACGGGUGGCGAGUGGCGGACGGGUGAGGAAUACAUCGGAAUCUACUUUUUCGUGGGGGAUAACGUAGGGAAACUUACGCUAAUACCGCAUACGACCUACGGGUGAAAGCAGGGGAUCUUCGGACCUUGCGCGAUUGAAUGAGCCGAUGUCGGAUUAGCUAGUUGGCGGGGUAAAGGCCCACCAAGGCGACGAUCCGUAGCUGGUCUGAGAGGAUGAACAGCCACACUGGAACUGAGAAACGGGCCAGACUCCUACGGGAGGGAGGAGUGGGGAAUAUUGGACAAUGGGCGGAAGCCUGAUCCAGCCAUACCGCGUGGGUGAAGAAGGCCUUCGGGUUGUAAAGCCCUUUUGUUGGGAAAGAAAAGCAGCAGGUUAAUACCCCGCUGUUCUGACGGUACCCAAAGAAUAAGCACCGGCUAACUUCGUG